CCCCUGCCCAUUUCAGCAGGCACAGACCAUCUUAAAUCACAUUCCUGGUAGUAUAGCACUGCUCGUGCACUCCGUAUGGCACGUGAAAGGCAAAUGAAAUAUAGCAACCCUGUAGGAUCUCUUACACAGCUGUGGCUGUAUUCAGUAAGACACUCUGCUGUGUCAGUGCCACAUCAUCCCACUGAACUAGCAGAAAAGUAUAACAUUCAUCAAAAAUCAAGGGCCGAGCAAAGAGCCAAGAAGAAAAGCAGAAGUGCAGUCUUGCCAGGGCUCCCUACCCAGCAGAAAGGCAAUUUUCCGCUUUCUCGCGGGGCCUGCAGGUUGUGUUUUUCACUCGUGCUGUUUUCCCUUACUCGUGUUAGUGGCUGCCUGUGCUAGGUGUGUUUCUAAAUGAGGGAGAGGGAGCGUGUUUGUGUGUGCGCCGAGUGUUUACAAGAGUUAUGGUAGCAGUUCUCAGCAGUCCACUGAGAGUUCUAGGAAACGGCCCCUGUUAUUUUAUUCUCGGUCGAUGUCAGCUCAUGUCAGGCAGUAAAGAUCACACAGGACAGCCCUCUCUCUGCAUCUCGCAGUCCUGGCCGGAGGCCUCAAUGGGAGAGGGAAAGGGAGCGAGCUGCGAGUGGGCGGAGAGCCUUCCCAGCACUCUACCAACCACUGCAGGAGGAAUUAUGAUAAACACCACUCUGGAAACCAGAUACAACAGUACAUUGUGUUCUUCUUCGGAAAAACAACCCGACUUCAGCUCACUUAAAGUAAACAGUUAAUCCUGUUUAUCUUUUUUUUUUUCUUUCUUGAUGAGUUGUUAACAGAACAAUCUCUUCUGCAAAGCAAAUAAGAGAUCAGUCCCUUAAAUUCAUACAGAAUUUUUCUUUCCCCUAGAAAAAAAAAGCAGUUUGAUAUGUAAACUUUCUACUAUCAGCAAACAGUGUGGAAUAACAAUCUUUCUUGGCUUAAACUGACUUAACAAAGCGAUGCCAAAACUGAAUGAAACCUUUCCCUCACUUACAUAUUUUAUUUUGGAAAACUGAAGUCCCAAACAGAAUGUUCUAUUCAUCCCUUUUAACUAUUCCGUUUCUGAAAAGAACAAGUCAGACUGGUAAACCAAAAAAAAAAAAAAGAAAAAAAAUCAGGAUAUUUGUUGUCCUUGCCACUGGAGCACAGGGUGCCUGGGGAGUAGAGAUCAGCUACUGAGCAGGGGGGUGGCUGGUCCCAGGUUUUCUCUGAGACGUGAAAAAAGAGGAGUCAAACUAAUUGACUGCAACUAAGGCUCUGAGAUCCCGUGUUUUCUGUGCAAAUGAUGUCAUGAAGUGCAAAAACAUAAAUUCAUAAUUACAAGAAGCAAAAAUAUGAAGAAAGUAAAAAGACCCUGAUAAUACAAUCAAGACUUAAAAACUCCUACAGGGUGAAGAGGACAUGCUGGUCCCAAGCCCACCCUCUGGUCUCACCUUGGGUGUACAACACUGAGCAGGGGAGAGAGACAGAGAAAGCAGGCCCACAGCUUGAGCAGACCGGUCCUGUUUGAAUCAGGGGACUUUGAGUCCCACUGCUGGGUAAGAAAGAGGAAUUCUGUCAGCCCCGGGUCAGGCUAUAGGUAAACUAAAAUUCCUUCAGAUGAGCAUAACAAAAUAGUUUUACUGUGGGAAAUUACCAGAGUUUAAAUGUGCACCCCACGUAUUUGGCAUUGAUCUCCUCCAGAAUUCUGCAUACAGCAGACACAAUCCAGGAGAGCCAGUGACUGGAAGAGUAGUUCAGCACUUGCUCAUUAAAAGAAUUAACCCUACACAUCUUUCACAAAUCACCAUCCUGCCAACUCCCAUGGGAAGCUGCCCAACAAGACCAUCACUCUCACUUACUGCCUACAGCUUCUCUGAAGAUUUCAACACCUUUCUGUACAUUCAUGCUUGACCUGAAGUGCCCAGUAUGGAAAUGCUCCUCCAAACUUGCCUUCCUUCCUCCUUCCUCACUUGGAAAAGACUGGUCAGCCAACAUUUUGUUCACAAUAGGAUGAAGAAAACCUAUGAAUCUGACUAAUUGCAAGAAGAGACUCAUACUAGAAGUACUGCUGAGAACAAAAUGCCUAAGUUUUUAGAUUUUAAAUGUGAGUGAUUGAGAAAAUGGGACUUAACUGGUGAUGGAAACUGGUAGUUAGAGGUCACUGAUAACUGGGGGUGGGGGGCAAAGGGAGUACUUCAGACAUUGUCCGUCACUGGUAUGUAAAACGUUUCUAUUCAACAGUUUUCCAUGUUCAACCAUAAAGUGACAAUUUUGUUUAUAGACACUGUAACUUUAAUCUUGGCAGAGACCAUCAACUCAGACUAAUCUGAAAUCUUAACUCAGCACUUCCAAAUAAAAACAGAAAUGAAA